CCUACGGGAGGCAGCAGUGAGGAAUAUUGGUCAAUGGACGAGAGUCUGAACCAGCCAAGUAGCGUGAAGGAUGACUGCCCUAUGGGUUGUAAACUUCUUUUAUAAAGGAAUAAAACGAGGCACGUGUGCCUUUUUGCAUGUACUUUAUGAAUAAGGAUCGGCUAACUCCGUGCCAGCAGCCGCGGUAAUACGGAGGAUUCGAGCGUUAUCCGGAUUUAUUGGGUUUAAAGGGAGCGUAGAUGGGUUGUUAAGUCAGUUGUGAAAGUUUGCGGCUCAACCGUAAAAUUGCAAUUGAUACUGGCAGUCUUGAGUACAGUUGAGGUAGGCGGAAUUCGUGGUGUAGCGGUGAAAUGCUUAGAUAUCACGAAGAACCCCGAUUGCGAAGGCAGCUUACUAAGCUGUGACUGACAUUGAUGCUCGAAAGUGUGGGUAGCAAACAGGAUUAGAUACCCUGGUAGUC
rnacentral:rRNA from 1 species